AACGAAAAAAGGCAAAACCACGCGAAAGGUGGGGGCGCAAAGCCACGGGUCUAACCCAUCCAUCAGGAUGGUAUGACAGCCGGGUUGCUCAG
rnacentral:ncRNA from 1 species